UACGUAGGGUGCGAGCGUUGUCCGGAAUUAUUGGGCGUAAAGAGCUCGUAGGCGGUUUGUCGCGUCGGCCGUGAAAACUCAGGGCUCAACCCUGAGCGUGCUUUCGAUACGGGCAGACUAGAGGUAUGCAGGGGAGAACGGAAUUCCUGGUGUAGCGGUGGAAUGCGCAGAUAUCAGGAGGAACACCCGGUGGCGAAGGCGGUUCUCUGGGCAUUACCUGACGCUGGAGGAGCGAAAGCAUGGGGAGCGAACAGG
rnacentral:rRNA from 1 species